GCCUACGGGUGGCUGCAGUAGGGAAUAUUGCAAAUGGGCGAAAGCCUGAUGUAGCAACGCCGCGUGUGCGAUGAAGGUCUUCAGAUUGUAAAGCACUUUUUGGAGGGAUGAGGAAGGACAGUACCUCCAGAAUAAGCCUCGGCUAACUACGUGCCAGCAGCCGCGGUAACACGUAGGAGGCAAGCGUUAUUCGGAUUUACUGGGCGUAAAGCGCGUGCAGGCGGUUUGGAAAGUUGGAUGUGAAAGCUCCUGGCUCAACUGGGAGAGGUCGUUCAAAACUUCCAGACUUGAGAGUGGUAGAGGGAGGUGGAAUUCCGGGUGUAGUGGUGAAAUGCGUAGAUAUCCGGAGGAACACCAGUGGCGAAAGCGGCCUCCUGGACCACUUCUGACGCUCAGACGCGAAAGCUAGGGUAGCAAACGGGAUUAGAUACCCGUGUAGUCC
rnacentral:rRNA from 1 species